rnacentral:lncRNA from 1 species
UAUGCUCGAUAAAUAUUGUCGUCCUUGGUAACAACGUAUCAUUUGGUCGCGAACAUGUUUAAGGACUAAACGACAAAUCCUCCUUUGUCGAGUCUAAAUAGUCCUAAGGACUUCACCACAACACAAAAGUUCAUUAGAAUAUGAAACAUUUGUGAUGAAAAAAUACCAAAAUAACUUUUAUUUAUUUAUAAUUCAUGUACUAAUACAAAAGGAGCACAACCGUCAACAGGCUGACGAUUGGCUUUGGGACACUAUUCCCAA